rnacentral:sRNA from 1 species
UUCUCCACAUUGCAAUCUUCUUCA